GACGCACGCUGUCGGCGUGCCUAACACAUGCAAGUCGAACGAUGAAGCCCAGCUUGCUGGGUGGAUUAGUGGCGAACGGGUGAGUAACACGUGAGUAACCUGCCCUUGACUCUGGGAUAAGCGCUGGAAACGGCUGCUAAUCCCGGAUACGACCUGCCCCGGCAUCGGGUGCUGGUGGAAAGUCUUUCGGUCAAGGAUGGACUCGCGGCCUAUCAGCUAGUUGGUGAGGUAAUGGCUCACCAAGGCGACGACGGGUAGCCGGCCUGAGAGAGUGACCGGCCACACUGGGACUGAGACACGGCCCAGACUCCUACGGGAGGCAGCAGUGGGGAAUAUUGCACAAUGGGCGAAAGCCUGAUGCAGCAACGCCGCGUGGGGGAUGACGGCCUUCGGGUUGUAAACCUCUUUUAGUAGGGAAGAAGGGCUUCGGCUUGACGGUACCUGCAGAAAAAGCACCGGCUAACUACGUGCCAGCCGCCGCGGUAA
rnacentral:rRNA from 1 species